ensembl:lincRNA Gm13371 predicted gene 13371
UGUGAGUGGAUCAAGCUGCCAUUGCUGACCUGUGAACUGAACUGCUGAUUUCCAGACAACACAGAUGGGAGUUGCUCCAAAGAACCUUUUCUAAACAGGACCAUGUAGAGAGGUGGUUGCAGGAAAUUCACAUCGUGCAACUCCCCACGAGUCACAGACGAUGCCUGCUGUCCAGUGCUUGGAAAGAGGAACCUGCCACCAGUUUGCACAGGACUGGUAUACUACAGCGAUUUCUCUAGGGUGUUUCAGCUAAGCCACCAGUUGGAGCAGAGAUCUGGGUUCUGCUGAGGAAACCACAGGACAGACCACGGCCUGUUUGCAGUUCUCGUUUGCCAGGCCUUUUGAAAUGUUUGUUAUCGAAAGAGUUUGUGGAGGAAUUGCAAAAAUCAAGUGCUUGAGAAAGCAGUAAUAACUUGCUUGCUGAACUCUCUAGCCAGCUUUGGAAACUUCAGUUGGACUCUUUGAGUCU